rnacentral:rRNA from 1 species
GAACGCUGGCGGCAGGCCUAACACAUGCAAGUCGAGCGGAAUGAUGAAGAAGCUUGCUUCUUCUGAUUUUAGCGGCGGACGGGUGAGUAACACGUGGGCAACCUACCUUGUAGAUUGGGAUAACUCCGGGAAACCGGGGCUAAUACCGAAUAAUCCAUUUUGCUUCAUGGCGAGAUGUUGAAAGACGGUUUCGGCUGUCACUACAAGAUGGGCCCGCGGCGCAUUAGCUAGUUGGUAGGGUAAUGGCCUACCAAGGCGACGAUGCGUAGCCGACCUGAGAGGGUGAUCGGCCACACUGGGACUGAGACACGGCCCAGACUCCUACGGGAGGCAGCAGUAGGGAAUCUUCCACAAUGGACGAAAGUCUGAUGGAGCAACGCCGCGUGAGUGAAGAAGGUUUUCGGAUCGUAAAACUCUGUUGUAAGGGAAGAACACGUACGAGAGUAACUGCUCGUACCUUGACGGUACCUUAUUAGAAAGCCACGGCUAACUACGUG